rnacentral:rRNA from 1 species
GGAAAAGAAACUAACAAGGAUUCCCCUAGUAACGGCGAGUGAAGCGGGAAGAGCUCAAAUUUGUAAUCUGGCACUUUCAGUGUCCGAGUUGUAAUCUCGAGAAGUGUUUUCCGCGCCGGACCGCAUACAAGUCUGUUGGAAUACAGCGUCAUAGUGGUGAGAACCCCGUAACUGAUGCGGAUGCCCGGUGCUUUGUGAUACACUUUCGAAGAGUCGAGUUGUUUGGGAAUGCAGCUCAAAUUGGGUGGUAAAUUCCAUCUAAAGCUAAAUAUUGGCGAGAGACCGAUAGCGAACAAGUACCGUGAGGGAAAGAUGAAAAGCACUUUGGAAAGAGAGUUAACAGUACGUGAAAUUGUUGGAAGGGAAACGCAUGAGGUCAGACUUGCUAUUUGGAAUUCAGCCGCAAGGUGUACUUUUCAAUUCGCAGGCCAGCAUCAGUUUUCGGGGGUGGAAAAGGGUAGAGAGAAGGUAGCUGUUUCGGCAGUGUUAUAGCUCUUUGCUGGAUU